rnacentral:lncRNA from 1 species
UCCGACCAAAUCGCCACUGCCCCGCCCCACAGCCACCGUCGCCACCGACGCCCGAUCCAUCUACAAGGUUAUAAUUUAUUUAAUUAUUAUUGAUGUUUAUUAAUUAAAUAGUUAACUAUGUGUUUAAAUAUUGGUUUAAUUAUAGCACGUGUAUUUAACCAUUUGUUUAAUUAUAAUAUAUGUAUUUAAUUAAUUAUUUAAUUAUAGCAUGUGCGUUUAAUUAAUUGUUUAUUAUAGCAUGUGUGUUUAAUUAAUUAUUUAAUUAUAGCAUGUGAAUUUAAUUAAUUUUUAAUUACAACAUGUGUGUUUAAUUAAUUGUACAACUAUAGCAUAUACGUUUAAUUAUUAAUUAUUUUAUAGCAUGUGUUAACUUAAAGAUUGGAUAUCACGUGUGGUUUUAUAAUGCUUAAUAUUAGGACUAAUGCCUAAUUUCUAAAACAUGCUUAAUUUUAGGGCUAUUAUGUAUUUUUAGUGCCUUAAUUGUAUAUUCGAAAUGUAGUUCUAUUAAAUAAAAUUAAAUUAAAAUCGAUAAUUAAUAAUUAUUCCUUAAUCUUUUGAAGAUUGAUGGCGCAUUGAAAUAAUGUUAAAUACGUGCACGUGUUCCAUAUCCAGCGGACGACACCGAGUUUGUUGAUGAUGUACCAGUAGAGCGUGACAUUCGUCGAGAUGGUAGGCAGCGGAGGACUAGCAGCAUGUGGGACUGGUGGACAUAUGCAGUAACUUUUUAU